rnacentral:rRNA from 1 species
UGGGGAAUCUUAGACAAUGGGCGCAAGCCUGAUCUAGCCAUGCCGCGUGUGUGAUGAAGGUCUUAGGAUCGUAAAGCACUUUCGCCAGGGAUGAUAAUGACAGUACCUGGUAAGGAAACCCCGGCUAACUCCGUGCCAGCAGCCGCGGUAAUACGGAGGGGGUUAGCGUUGUUCGGAAUUACUGGGCGUAAAGCGUACGUAGGCGGAUCAGAAAGUUGGGGGUGAAAUCCCAGGGCUCAACCCUGGAACUGCCUCCAAAACUCCUGGUCUUGAGUUCGAGAGAGGUGAGUGGAAUUCCAAGUGUAGAGGUGAAAUUCGUAGAUAUUUGGAGGAACACCAGUGGCGAAGGCGGCUCACUGGCUCGAUACUGACGCUGAGGUACGAAAGUGUGGGGAGCAAACAGGAUUAGAUACCCUGGUAGUCCACACCGUAAACGAUGAAUGCCAGUCGUCGGGCAGUAUACUGUUCGGUGACACACCUAACGGAUUAAGCAUUCCGCCU